AACGAACGCUGGCGGCAUGCCUAAUACAUGCAAGUCGAACGAGAUCUUCGGAUCUAGUGGCGCACGGGUGCGUAACGCGUGGGAAUCUGCCCUUGGGUUCGGAAUAACUUCUGGAAACGGACGCUAAUACCGGAUGAUGACGUAAGUCCAAAGAUGUAUCGCCCAAGGAUGAGCCCGCGUAGGAUUAGGUAGUUGGUGAGGUAAAGGCUCACCAAGCCGACGAUCCUUAGCUGGUCUGAGAGGAUGAUCAGCCACACUGGGACUGGGACACGGCCCAGACUCCUACGGGAGGCAGCAGUAGGGAAUAUUGGACGAUGGGCGAAAGCCUGAGCCAGCAAUGCCGCGUGAGUGAUGAAGGCCUUAGGGUUGUAAAGCUCUUUUACCCGGGAUGAUAAUGACAGUACCGGGAGAAUAAGCUCCGGCUAACUCCGUG
rnacentral:rRNA from 1 species